GUUGCUCACGCCUCUUCGCUCACCAAAACCACGCCCUCUCUGGCCGCCCGUCGUUACCACGCCCCCGUAUGACCACUCCCCUUGCUGCCCCAGUCCCUGGCUCCUCCUAGAUCCUUCCACGUGCAGUUGUCUCAUUGCUGAGCCCCUGGCCCUGUCCAUCUCCAGCACACCCGGGGCGGGGUCUAUGCUACUUUACCAAGGUAGGGGAUGACAGGCGAGCGUGACGCACACUGGGUGUGCAUCCCAAAUUUUCCUGAACUUUCAGCCUGAGCACUAUGUAUGUCUCUAUGCCUAAGCCACCCACUGCCAUCUGCGCUAACCACUGUGAUCCUGAGGUCGCAGCUGCUGGACCCUCCCCGGGUCUUGGCAGAGGGAAUGGAGGCCAAGUGGCUAUUGACCAUGUUCUGGAUGUAACACCAAGUUCACAUCAAGAUGGCGAAGUGAGCCGGUCACUGGGAAGUGGGUCAGUUACAUCACAUAAUCAGCAGGGCAGGUACCUAGCAUCCUCUUCUGACCCAUACCAUGACCUUUUGAUUUCUCAGUCUGAGACAGAGGUAGGAUCUCACAAUGCAGCUUAGAGCUUACAGGUUCAGAGGUUCAGUCUAUUGUCAUCAAGGUGGGAGCAGGCACGGUGCAGGAGGAGCUGAGAGUUCUACAUCUUCAUCUGAAGGCCACCAGAAGACUGACUCCCAGUAGGGAGCCGUCCAGGUCUGUCAGUGUCAACUACGACCUGCCAAAAGCAGCUCAACCGGCUCAGAAACAACAUCGGUGACAAGGACAAUGAUGCCCACGUGACCAGAACAUUUCCAGAGCUAUCCUCAAAGAUCUGAAGGACAUCUUCCUGCAUCCUCACACACCUCCCGCCAUCCAUGCAAGAGUUCCAUGGAUGAGUUCCAACCGGACCUCUCCAAGGAACUGGACUUCUCUGAGGGACUGAACCUCUCCAAGGGACUGGACCUCUCCGAGGGACUGUCCCAGGGGUAGGGGUUGGUGGCACUUAUCUGACUCUGUAAGACUACUCCCAUAGAGUUUUCGUUAGGAUAUCUUACUCUCCUUAGUUCCCUCAAGCAAGAGAUUAAAAAAACAAAAGCCA